rnacentral:tRNA from 1 species
GCGGUCGUGGCGGAACUGGCAGACGCGCAGCGUUGAGGUCGCUGUGGGAGUAAUCCCGUGGAGGUUCAAGUCCUCUCGACCGCA